AAGCCAUGCCAAUAUCUCAGUAGUCCAUCUCCACAAUCUCUUCUUUGUCUCUUCACUCAUCUUUCAUUAAUUAAACUUCUGUCGCAUGAUCUUAGCUGAAUGCGAGAAAUACUACUCCGUCCCCAUAUCAUUCACAUUUUACAAUAAGCUGGCGUCUUGAUUCUGAUGAAAAACUUGCACAGGUAGAAGCACUAGUUUUCUCCACAUAAACGGCAAAAUUUAACGUCAAAAAAUUGUAGUAAUUCACAAAAUAGAAUCUUUCUACCAUCUAAUGGUUCUGAAACAAGGACAAGAGCUCAUGAGCAAGGCGGACGGAUCACUGCACAAAGGCAGACAUGCAUAGGCUUUUGUUGAAGAGUGCUGCA
rnacentral:lncRNA from 1 species